rnacentral:rRNA from 1 species
GAUGCGGGCGGUUCGCCGCUCGUGACUCUGCGAGAAGUCCAUUGAACCUUAUCAUUUAGAGGAAGGAGAAGUCGUAACAAGGUUUCCGUAGGUGAACCUGCGGAGGGAUCAUUGUCGAGACUGAAAUACAUCGAGCGAUCUUGAGAACCCGUCAAAAUAAGUGGUGGCUAUAGCUGCCGAGAUAAUAUUCAUUUGAAUCAUCGUCUCAUCCCCUCAUUGGGGUUGGGACGUGAUGAAGGAUGGAUGAACCCCCAAAUCGGCGCACCGUUGCGCCAAGGAAACAUUGAAACAUGAUGCCCUAAAAUGGGUUUUGUAGAAUGGGGUGUUGUUACAUGCCAUAAGAAUUGACACGACUCUCGGCAAUGGAUAUCUCGGCUCUCGCAUCGAUGAAGAGCGCAGCGAAAUGCGAUACGUGGUGCGAAUUGCAGAAUCCCGCGAACCAUCGAGUCUUUGAACGCAAGUUGCGCCCGAGGCCAAUCGGCCAAGGGCACGUCCGCCUGGGUGUCAUACAUUUUAUCGCUCCAUGCCUAGCCACACAUCGAUGGAUGUAUUGGCAAAGGCUCGGAUGUGCACGGUGGCUCGUCGUGCCCCUCGGCACGGCGGGCUGAAGAGCGGGUCAUCAUCUCGUUGGCUGCGAACAAUACGUGGUGGAUUAAAGCAAGGCCGAUGCUAUUGUGUCGUGCAUGCCUAAGAGAUGAUCAUACCUUUGAGGUGAUCCCAAAUCAUGCGUUGAUCCAUGGAUGGCGCUUUGAAUGCGACCCCAGGAUGGGCGAGGCCACCCGCCGAGUUUAAGCAUAUCAAUAAGCGGAGGAGAAGAAACUUACGAGGAUUCCCUUA